GUCAAGCUGGCCGAGUGGUUAAGGCGACAGACUUGAAUUUCCUAAUUUGUUAUCUGUUGGGUUCGCCCUCACAGGUUCGAAUCCUGUGCUUGACG